GACGAACGCUGGCGGCGUGCUUAACACAUGCAAGUCGAACGGAAAGGCCCUGCUUUUGUGGGGUGCUCGAGUGGCGAACGGGUGAGUAACACGUGAGUAACCUGCCCUUGACUUUGGGAUAACUUCAGGAAACUGGGGCUAAUACCGGAUAGGAGCUCCUGCUGCAUGGUGGGGGUUGGAAAGUUUCGGCGGUUGGGGAUGGACUCGCGGCUUAUCAGCUUGUUGGUGGGGUAGUGGCUUACCAAGGCUUUGACGGGUAGCCGGCCUGAGAGGGUGACCGGCCACAUUGGGACUGAGAUACGGCCCAGACUCCUACGGGAGGCAGCAGUGGGGAAUAUUGCACAAUGGGCGGGAGCCUGAUGCAGCAACGCCGCGUGCGGGAUGACGGCCUUCGGGUUGUAAACCGCUUUCGCCUGUGACGAAGCGUGAGUGACGGUACUGGGUAAAGAAGCACCGGCUAACUACGUG
rnacentral:rRNA from 1 species